CGGCUACCGUACCUAAUGGUUAACAACAAACAUGGCGUCCUCAAUGUCACUUCUCGGUUUAGGUCGUUUGUCUCUCAGCAAUGUAGCUUCCAGGAUCCUACUGAAUCCAGCCAGGUCUGCAAGCACAUCAGCAUCAAGGCUGGCAGAGAAAGCAGAA